rnacentral:rRNA from 1 species
GAACGCUGGCGGCAGGCCUAACACAUGCAAGUCGAGCGGUAGAGAGAAGCUUGCUUCUCUUGAGAGCGGCGGACGGGUGAGUAAUGCCUAGGAAUCUGCCUGGUAGUGGGGGAUAACGCUCGGAAACGGACGCUAAUACCGCAUACGUCCUACGGGAGAAAGCAGGGGACCUUCGGGCCUUGCGCUAUCAGAUGAGCCUAGGUCGGAUUAGCUAGUUGGUGAGGUAAUGGCUCACCAAGGCGACGAUCCGUAACUGGUCUGAGAGGAUGAUCAGUCACACUGGAACUGAGACACGGUCCAGACUCCUACGGGAGGCAGCAGUGGGGAAUAUUGGACAAUGGGCGAAAGCCUGAUCCAGCCAUGCCGCGUGUGUGAAGAAGGUCUUCGGAUUGUAAAGCACUUUAAGUUGGGAGGAAGGGCAUUAACCUAAUACGUUGGUGUCUUGACGUUACCGACAGAAUAAGCACCGGCUAACUCUGUGCCAGCAGCCGCGGUAAUACAGAGGGUGCAAGCGUUAAUCGGAAUUACUGGGCGUAAAGCGCGCGUAGGUGGUUUGUUAAGUUGGAUGUGAAAUCCCCGGGCUCAACCUGGGAACUGCAUUUAAAACUGACAAGCUAGAGUAUGGUAGAGGGUGGUGGAAUUUCCUGUGUAGCGGUGAAAUGCGUAGAUAUAGGAAGGAACACCAGUGGCGAAGGCGAC